rnacentral:lncRNA from 1 species
AUGCAGAACGUGCAGAGGAAGUCUUACGAUCAUAUUUCAUAUGCUUCCUUCAUCGUAGCUGAUAAAAAUCAUAAUAUCUUUCCUCUGUCUCAAUUGGUUUGACCUGAUCUAAACUGUGCUUGCUAGUCUCAACUGUAUUAUGUAUCGGACCAAAUGAUCCAUCCACCAUUGAUGUGUCACCACUGGCCUUCGACUUUCUGCAUUGUGACAGUGUAUUUGCCUCGUAGUUUUCUCUCUUUGAAGUGUCCUCUGGCGCUCUCUUAUCAGUUAAAUCCCGUGAAACUUUUCCGUCACCCUCACUUUCUAUUGACGCUUCUGUUUGCUUACUUCAAGAUGUAAUAACAAAACGAUAAUUUAUUAUUAUUAUUAUUUUUUAAAAAACGAAAUAUGAAGAGAUAUCGCUAUAUAAAUGAAAAUGAACAAUUUCAAUAACAUAGAGCCUUAACAACAAAUUAUCUUAUGAAAGACUAGGAGGAUUCAAUUAGAAGUUCAUAAUAUAUGCGCUCGAUAAAGGUUUCUAUCUUACAUAUCUAGUAGAUGCAUGACCGAGUGACCGACAAGAUGACAAUCUAACAGAUGUUAAGAUAACCAUCUAAAACUCUACAAGGCUAACUAGAAAAGGAGUUCCGUCUUGCUCUCUCACAUAACAAGUUGAUCAUCUCUAAGACUAUGCACUCAUGUGGUUCAUUUCACAAAAUUCACGACUUUUAUCAAUUUUUUCACCAUACAUUUGAUUAACCUUUAUCAAAAUUUACUAAAAAUCUAAUUUAUAAAAAAACCAAAAAGGGUCUACGACUCUACUGGACUUAAGGAUGAGCGCCCCUCUCUUGUCUAGUGAAGCAUGGUGAUCUUCCAUGACCCCAUCAUACAUACUUUCAGACAAGGAUAUACACAAUAAAUGCAUUCUAUAUAUGUUUCGAAUAUAUAAAUCUUUCUCCAUGUUAUUUCUUAAUGUAAUUUUCUUCUUGUUAUUCUUAUAGAGCUAUGCAUCAUUUUCCUACUUUUUAAACUCUUUUUUUUCCUAGUAAUUAAGAAGGUCGCAUUUACUACCUAUUUACCAAUAGAGUUUUCCCAAAUGCUUCACAGUGUUUAAAGAAAG